GAAAACCUUACGGAUAAACAUUCGAGCCAUCGCACCCUAGGGACGACGACUUCCCUUCCCCCUUCUCACCCUUCUCCUCUCCUGCCAUCCCCUCUCCUCUCCUUCCCUCCCUUUUUCCCACAGAUCCUUCUUUGUUAUUUUGUUUUGAGGUGUGGAAGAAGCCGUCGUGAAAUGUUGUGAUCGUUGUGAUAGUAGCCGUCGUUUGGCCCACAUACGCAAAGAUUUAACUCCAGUUGUCAACCUUCAACAUGGAUUUGGAGCUGCAAGGAGGGGAAGAUGUUAGAUUAUGUUAGGUUCGGGUUUAACAAUAUAUCACUAUGGGUUUAGAUGGUAAGACACUAUGGUUUUCUUCUGGUUGCCUGGGAGGAUGUGAAGUCGUGGUUCUUCUUCUUCUUCUUUUGUUUAUGUCUAAUAAAAAUGUUAGGAACUCUUUAGGUGUUCGUUGUGUCUUUUUUCCUCCUUAUAAGGUUUUAUUUUUGUUUAACUUUCAGCUUUUAAUAUGGAUUUGUCGUUUAUGCCAAUGCAUGUCGGAUUUGUACUGCAUGUUUCAACAUGUGUACUUCUAGUUGCUGAAUCAGAG
rnacentral:lncRNA from 1 species